rnacentral:rRNA from 1 species
AUGUCCAAAUGGCCGAAAGAAACCAACCGCAACCGAAGGCAACAGGGUUGCGGACCUGGAGCUUCGGGUGCUCAUCAUUGCGGAAGGAGGUACGAAGGCACGGUGAUGGCCUGCUGCAAGGUCGCGGACGCAAGCAUCCAAGGCGUCGGGCUAUGGGGCGACGAGGAGGAGGCGGGUCGAUGCGUAGGUGUAAAGGCGAGGCAGAGGCGCGAGGGCGCAGGAGGAUGGCCGGGGUGCACGGAGUGGCGACGGUCACCGGAGGCGAGGACGCGGGGUCGAGGCAGAGGCGACCGGCGGGGCAGGAGCAGAGUAGCAACCGCGGCGGGACUUACGCCUCAAUGA